rnacentral:rRNA from 1 species
GAUGAACGCUGGCGGCGUGCCUAAUACAUGCAAGUCGAACGCAUAGCGAAAGGUGCUUGCACCUUUCAAUUGAGUGGCGAACGGUUGAGUAACACGUGGACAACCUGCCUCAAGGCUGGGGAUAACAUUUGGAAACAGAUGCUAAUACCGAAUAAAACUUAGUGUCGCAUGACCCAAAGUUAAAAGGCGCUUCGGCGUCACCUAGAGAUGGAUCCGCGGUGCAUUAGUUAGUUGGUGGGGUAAAGGCCUACCAAGACAAUGAUGCAUAGCCGAGUUGAGAGACUGAUCGGCCACAUUGGGACUGAGACACGGCCCAAACUCCUACGGGAGGCUGCAGUAGGGAAUCUUCCACAAUGGGCGAAAGCCUGAUGGAGCAACGCCGCGUGUGUGAUGAAGGCUUUCGGGUCGUAAAGCACUGUUGUAUGGGAAGAACAGCUAGAAUAGGAAAUGAUUUUAGUUUGACGGUACCAUACCAGAAAGGGACGGCUAAAUACGUG